rnacentral:rRNA from 1 species
AGCAGUCGCCGCGGGAAUACGAAGGGUGCAAGCGUUACUCGGAAUUACUGGGCGUAAAGCGUGCGUAGGUGGUGGUUUAAGUCCGUUGUGAAAGCCCUGGGCUCAACCUGGGAAUUGCAGUGGAUACUGGGUCACUAGAGUGUGGUAGAGGAUAGUGGAAUUUCCGGUGUAGCAGUGAAAUGCGUAGAGAUCGGAAGGAACAUCUGUGGCGAAGGCGACUAUCUGGGCCAACACUGACACUGAGGCACGAAAGCGUGGGGAGCAAACAGGAUUAGAUACCCGAGUAGUCCCUGUCUCUUAUAA